rnacentral:rRNA from 1 species
CGUGUAGGCGGCCGAUCAAGUCGGAUGUGAAAUCUCUCGGCUCAACCGAGAAACUGCAUUCGAUACUGGUUAGCUAGAGUGCGAGAGGGGUGAGUGGAACUCCAGGUGUAGCGGUGAAAUGCGUAGAUAUCUGGAGGAACGCCGGUGGCGAAAGCGACUCACUGGCUCGCAACUGACGCUGAGGCGCGAAAGCUAGGGGAGCGAACAGGAUUGAUACCCUGGUAGUCC